CGAAGAAAAAGGCAUAAGAGAAACCCGUACAUGAACCACUCUCCAGACCACACAAAUGUACCUUUUGUCGUACCGACAAAAAAGCUGAAGAAACAAGCAGCUCGCGUCGGGGGUACAGCACGCUGACCUCCUGCCAGUCUGCGCAACGGCGGAAAGCACAGUGAAUUGUGGAGUGUGGAACACAAGAUGAGACCAGUCAACUCGUUGAAGAGAAAAACCUGCACAAGGCUCCCACUGAUUUGAAAAACUGCAUUCAGUGUAAUGUUGGUCGUUACCAAGGUGACGGGGGCUCCUCGGAAGUGUUACACCGAUGAGGAACAUCUUUCAGCGAUGACAGAAUGCGCCAGUGGGGA